CCCAGACUCCUACGGGAGGCAGCAGUGAGGAAUAUUGGUCGAUGGCCGCAGGGCUGAACCAGCCAAGUCGCGUGAGGGAUGACGGUCCUAUGGAUUGUAAACCUCUUUUGUCAGGGAGCAAAGGGCGCCACGUGUGGCGCUUUGCGAGUACCUGAAGAAAAAGCAUCGGCUAACUCCGUGCCAGCAGCCGCGGUAAUACGGAGGAUGCGAGCGUUAUCCGGAUUUAUUGGGUUUAAAGGGUGCGUAGGCGGAAUAUCAAGUCAGCGGUAAAAAUUCGGGGCUCAACCCCGUCGUGCCGUUGAAACUGAUGUUCUUGAGUGGGCGAGAAGUAUGCGGAAUGCGUGGUGUAGCGGUGAAAUGCAUAGAUAUCACGCAGAACUCCGAUUGCGAAGGAAGCCUGCCGCAGCGUUACUGACGCUGAAGCUCGAAAGCGCGGGUAUCGAACAGGAUUAGAUACCCGAGUACA
rnacentral:rRNA from 1 species